rfam:Oscillibacter sp. KLE 1745 genomic scaffold Scaffold301, whole genome shotgun sequence.
UAGAACUGAUAUUCCGACAGGUGGAAUGAUGGGGUAACGCCCUGAAACGUCUGCCCUAAGACUGCGCCGGGCAUGGUGCAAGCGCAAAGACGCACUGUGUCCGAGAGCGCGCGGAAGUCGGCGGAAGUCUGUCCUAACGGGUCAAGCCGAGGAAAGCGCCCCAGCGGUGGGGUGUGCGGAUGAUACGCCGGGGGUCUACAAA